rnacentral:rRNA from 1 species
AAUGAACGCUGGCGGCAGGCCUAACACAUGCAAGUCGAACGAGCGGCGGACGGGUGAGUAAUGUCUGGGAAACUGCCCGAUGGAGGGGGAUAACUACGGGAAACAGUAGCCAAUAUCGCAUACCAUCGGAUGUGCCCAGAUGGGCUUAGCUAGCAGGUGGGGGAACGGCUCACCUCGGCGACGAUCCCUAGCUGGGCUGAUAGGAUGACCGGCCACACUGGAACGGAGACACGGUCCAGACUCCUACGGUAGGCAGCAGUGGGGAAUAUUGGACAAUGGGCGCAAGCCUGAUGCAGCCAUGCCGGGUGUAUGAAGAAGGCCUUCGGGUUGUAAAGUACUUUCAUCGAGGAGGCGUUACUCGCAGAAGAAGCACCGGCUAACUCCGUGCCAGCAGCCGCGGUAAUUC